CGUGCUAAUCUGCGAUAAGCGCCGGUAAGGUGAUAUGAACCGUUAUAACCGGCGAUUUCCGAAUGGGGAAACCCAGUGUGACUCGUCACACUAUCAUUAACUGAAUCCAUAGGUUAAUGAGGCGAACCGGGGGAACUGAAACAUCUAAGUACCCCGAGGAAAAGAAAUCAACCGAGAUUCCCCCAGUAGCGGCGAGCGAACGGGGAGGAGCCCAGAGCCUGAAUCAGCAUGUGUGUUAGUGGAAGCGUCUGGAAAGGCGCGCGAUACAGGGUGACAGCCCCGUACACAAAAGCGCAUGUGCUGUGAGCUCGAUGAGUAGGGCGGGACACGUGGUAUCCUGUCUGAAUAUGGGGGGACCAUCCUCCAAGGCUAAAUACUCCUGACUGACCGAUAGUGAACCAGUACCGUGAGGGAAAGGCGAAAAGAACCCCGGCGAGGGGAGUGAAAAAGAACCUGAAACCGU
rnacentral:rRNA from 3 species